UACGGGGGGAGCAAGCGUUGUUCGGAUUUACUGGGCGUAAAGGGCGCGUAGGCGGCCACCGCAAGUCAGUUGUGAAAUCUCUGGGCUUAACCCAGAACGGUCAGCUGAUACUGCGGGGCUAGAGUGCAGAAGGGGCAACUGGAAUUCUCGGUGUAGCGGUGAAAUGCGUAGAUAUCGAGAGGAACACCUGCGGCGAAGGCGGGUUGCUGGGCUGACACUGACGCUGAGGCGCGAAAGCGUGGGGAGCAAACAGG
rnacentral:rRNA from 1 species